UAACUAUAUUGUAGCUGCUGGCUCCCAUAUUUGGGAACUGAAGUUUCCACCUCAUUUACCCAUCCACUCUCAAGGCUUUUUCAACCUUGGGCACUCUUGCUGGCAUAAGCUAAGACUGCCGCUAGAAACCACUACCUUUGUAAGAAACAUAAGGCUUCGAGAAGGCCAUACAACUGUACAUGGUUGAAAUUCCAUGUCCAGGAUGUGGUGACAUAACACACUGAAUCCAUUCAAGAGUCAAUGGUGAUCUCAGUGAUGCUUGUGGUUGGAAUAUUUUUUGUAAUGAAAAUAGUUAGAAUCUGUUGAUUAAGUACCUGUUAAGGUGUGCCUAUAAAUUAAGAAUUAGGAAUGCUGCAUGCAUAAUAUUAUAUUUUUUCAAAUCAGAAAUAAAAUAUCCCAUAUGUAGAACUUGUCUAUAU
rnacentral:lncRNA from 1 species